GGGCGGCUGCGGAGGCAAGGCGGUGGGCCCAGGGCCGCGGCAGCGGAGCCCAGCGAGACGGUGGGCCCAGCAAGGUGGCGGCAGCCCCGGCCAUGAGCGGGGCGAGGCGGCGGGCCCAGCAUGAUGGUGGCGGGCCAGGCCGUGGUGGCGGGGCCCAGCGAGCGGCGGGCCCAGCAAGGCGGGGUGAGGCGGCGGGGCCGGGCCCGGCCGCGGAGGCGAGGCGGCGGGCCUGAUGGCGGCACUCUGGGGCCGGCUAGGCCCGCUGGCGGCGGCAGCUGCACUCUGCCCCGCCGGAGACGGGGGGCGGGAGGAGAGAGAGAGGUAGCCUGGCCUGGCCGGGCCCGGCCGCGGAAGCGAGGCGGUGGGACUGGCCGGGCCGCGUAGGCGAGGUGGCGGCGGCUGCACUCGGCCCCCGCAGGGCGGCGGCGGCCGCACGGGUCAGCUAGUUUACUAUUAUUUGUUGUUAUAAGCAACUUCCAAAGGAGACAAAGGAUAUAGAAAAUAUCCAUGGUUGAUAUUAGAUUAAUGUUGUGUGCACUUGAAAAACACUGGGUAUGUGCAAUGGAGGAGGGGUGAUUUUUGUCUAUCUCCCCUUUCUUCUGUAGUCCACUGUGCCUCCUGAAAAUAUGUCUGUGACUGUGAGGGUUGUGCGAAGGACUUCCUUCUGCUUUUUCUGUCAUGUCACUCUCUUCUAGUGCAAACCCUAAUCAACAAAUGGCUUUACAGCAGAGUUCCAGGAUCAUUUUGAGAAGAAAAAUAAGCUGACAGUUUCUCCCUGUUAUCAAUUUUCAUCGUGCCAACUAUCAAAAAGAAGACAGACUGGUAUUGAUAACAAAAUGCUAAGGUGUAAGAUACCUGAUAAACACUUUGUCCUUCUGCUAAAAGACAAGAGAUGUCUCAAAUGGCAUUUGGAAGGAUCUUCUGCUGAAGAUAAUGCAGCCAUUUUUGGUUGAUCAAUCCCAGGUUUGGACAAUGAUGACAAAUGGAGAAGAGACACAAGAAAAGAGAUAAAAGAGAAGGCAAGUAAGCUCAACAAUUAAAACAGCACUGCAUAGAAUUACGUUGCAUAUGGUAGCAAAGAGCAGGUUGCAUUCAAGAUAGAAGAUUAUUAAUAGAAUUAAUUAAAAAUUAACUUUACGUUGCUGCUAAAUUUUUUAGAUGGCAUGCUUCUUUGAAUAUUUUAUCCCAAACUAGACAUUUUGACCAUGCUGUUGUAUGCUGGCAGUUAGGGUGCAGAUGGUUAGGGUUGAGUUAGGACACACAACUCAAACCUACAGACUUUAGGCUUGUAGCUUCCUUUUAAAGUAAAGGAACUUGCAUUAUGUACAGUUACAAUCAAUCUAAAUAGGUCUGCUCUUUUACCAGCAGAAGUUCCCUUGCCUGCUUGGGCUGGGAAGUUUGCAGCGCUGGCCCUCCUUCACUCUGGCCUUGAGUAGCAGAGUUCCAUCUUCUGCUGAUCUUGUUGCUGCUACUACAGCCACGGUCUGAGUGCCCUGACAAGCUUCAGCUGUGUGUGGGCUGUUCCAGCUGCCAGGCUCCUGAAGUCCACGUGAGAGGUGGGGUCUGGGGGCUUUGGCCUAAAUAGGGAUCAGGGCUAGCCGGAGGCACAGCCGCUGGCGCAGGCCAUCUUCAGGUGGCCGCCAAAGGGGGUCAACCUUUGGUGGUGGCCUUUGGGGGUGGGACUGAGGGCUGGGGCCAACAUUUUUGAAUAAUUGGAAAGAAGAGCCCUGCUCACCUCAUUGCUGUUUAGUUUUUAGUUAGGCUUGAUACAGGUGUGUGUUUUGGGUUGAACAGAGAUGGGGAGGUUGUUGGGGACCCCCCCUGACCCCAACAUUAAACCCAGAGCCACCAACCCAGAAUUAUAUGAAACCCAGGCAGAGGCGUAACUAGGGAAAAUGGCGCCUAGGGCAAGCACUGAAAUUGCACCUCUGUCCAAACAGGAAUGAUGGGACUUGUAGUCAACAAUAUCUGGAAAUCCCUGUUAAAAGGAACACUGUACCAUCUAGACAUGGUUGUUGAUCAAAACCUGAAAACAUGAGCCAUCUCUUUAAAAGACUUAGAACAACAGUCAGGAGUUAUGUGAGGAUUCCAAGUGUCAUUUUCUCUGUCUCAUCUCAUUCUUUUUUAAAAAAACAUGACUUUGUCCUAGAGGAUCACCUGCCCAAAUAGCCACUAGCAAAAUAGAGGGAAAAGAAGGUGUGUGUGUGUGGGGGGAGGGUGUCUAUAAACCAGUGAAUGAUUCCUGCUAGCCUUUGUCUUAUGAUGACUGUUGGCUCAUGAUGGGGUGGGUAUAUGUGCAUUCACCACACCAGUGCUUCCUUUGACACCAAGAGGGAGGGGGAUACAUUAGUUUGCCACACUAGACAGAGGCAUUUGCAACAGGAGCAGACAGCCAAGUUCUGCCAGGGCCAAAACUAGCCCCUGCCAGACUAAGAAAUCAUUGUAAUUUGCCCCUUCCUGUCACAAGCAGUGUGCUGUUCUUUUAUUAUUGACUCUAACUCUCAAAUAUCCCAGUCAUGGAUGGAAAAUUCAGGGUCAAUUGACAAGAGACACAUUUUCUACAUGGAAGUUUCUUCUGUGCAGGUGUUGUGCAGAAACCCAUGUGUAGUGACCGCCAGGGGCAUAGCAAAGUUGGAAUGGGCCAAGAUGAGAUUUUAAAAUGCCCCCCCCCUCAAAGUUCAGGACCUCACACAUCCUAGGCCCCCAAGGAUUUAAGUCUGAUAUUUCAAAAUAAGUAUGCUUCCUGGAAAUACAUUUCACUGAAUACACACAUGCACACUUCACAGUAUAUAGUGAUAUACAUUGCGUACUACGUAUAUAUUUGUGCUACUUUUAAUGCCUAGAACACACUAGCAACGCUAAUUAUUAAAAUGGCCCCCUCGCUGCAGAUUAGCAAAGGAGACCUUCAACCAUGCAGGGUGAGCCUAUGUUUGUUUUCUCAGAAUUCUGAACAAAUUCAGUAAAGUUUGAUUCCUGGAGGUUUUUCACACGAGGCUUUUAAAGCCCUUUAACACACAUCUCCUCUGGAAUGGAGGUGCUGCAUUCACAUGUUGGCCAGAUUUACCCUGAAGUCCCUGCAAGUUAUUGGAGAGCAGUUCACACACAAGAAAAAUAAAAUAAAAGGACAACACAUGCUUCACAGUUCUCACUCAGACCUUCUGGGUUGCAAAACAACUUGAGCAUAAGUGCAUUUAUAAAUGAAUGAAAGAAAGAAAGAAAGAAAGAAUAAAUAUUUGUUCCAGACGUUUUUGUAAUUUUCUGACAUGAAACAAGCCACUUAUAGGCCUUUUUAGAUAGUUUUUGUUUUUAAAGCCAGCACAUUUUUCAGUCUGUUUUAAAUUAAAUAUUCAGAGACUUCUCAGUCUCGCCCCACCACCCAUAUCAAAGCCCUAUGGCAAGCCAAUCCCUAUAUAUGGGGGUAACCACAAAAAGGAAUUCACAGCCUACCUUGCAAAAGCUGUGCUGGAGGGUCUGGUCUGCUGCAGGGAGGGUCUGCUGCAGGGAGCUCUGCCAGCCUCCUUCCUGGCUUGCUGGGGCCUGCCGAGUUCAGGCUUCAGGGAGGCCUACUCGGAGGCCUCUCUGGAAGCCCCGCCCACCCGCCGAUCAGCUGAGAGGCAGGGAGAGAAGAGCUCUGCAGUUUGCAGGCUGCUCCAAUCCUAGGCCUCCUUGCCGAUCCUAGGCCGGAGCUGGAGGCAAGUGGCUGAGGGGCCCUGGAGCUGGGCAGGUGGGCAAUGGGGUGGGGGUGGCAGGAACUGGCAUGGUGCCCCCACCUCAGUGGCACCUAGGGCAUGUGCCCUGCCCGCCCCCCCCCAGUUCUGCCUAUGAACCCAGGCCUGUGUCUGAUUCCAUUUUAUAAGAGUUCAAUUAAAUGCCUGAACUCAAGGUGAACUGACACCCAGAUCUCAGGACUGCCUCAUGAACUGCUCUGUGAAGGAAGAGGCAAUCCAGCAUUGUAUUGUGAAAUGGGCUAUCAAUAUGCUAAAAUGUAACUCACUAUCAGAUGAUGUCUGUGGAAGAGGCCAGAGGCUGAUCUUCCCCUUCCUGUUGCAAGAAGUCUAUGUUAAUCCUUGUCAGUGAUUGCUCUGCUAUACUCAAUUGCUCUCUAUAGAAAUUCCACUCUAGGUAAAUGCACACAAGGAAAACACCUGUAGAUUUAGUCCUUUUACUAACACCUUCCGGGACAAGGCCCAAAUCUGGGGACAAGAGAAGAGGCCCAUUUGCAGCUCAGAGAUGCAGAUUUGCUUUGGGCAAUGUCCUCUCCUCAAGAUAGCAGCUAACAGAAGAUGGGAUUAAGUAUCUCCCUGGACUGGGCUAAUAUCCUGACUAAUCAAAAGACAAUGUCCAGCAGGUAACAGCAUUGUCACCUUUUUGGGACCCAGGAAAGAUGAGGAGAUAUUGAAUAGACUCUAUGGGAGAUCAAAGGAAGAUACAACUAUAAAGAAUGAGGCUUACUGGACAGAGAGCUAGCAGUCUUUUGCCUACCAGCAGUCUUUUGCCUACACGCAGCAAUCUUGCCUAACAAGCAUACUUGCUCAAGAGCCAUCCCAGAGUUUGCUGCUAAGCCACGGGGCAACAAGCAGGAACUCUGUCCAUGGACAGGAACUCUGUGACUUCUGCUGCGCAGUGAGAAGUCAAGACUUCCCCAACCAUGGUGCUCUGACUCUCAGCCUUGCCCUGAGCAAACUGCAUGCUUGAUCAUCGCUCUAAAAAGCUCCUGUCUCCAGCCAGAGCCUCGCUCCUUCAGCUGAAAGCCCCACUGCUCUCAAGCCUCUCAAGCUGGUAAUAUGCUGCCUUCACAAGCCUUGGAUCCCUCUUCCCUCCUUUCUACUAGUCACUGCCAUCCCUCUCCUAAGCCCUCCGUCCUUCCUUCUUCUCUCUAAAUGUUUUAUUAGGAUUUGUUGAUUAUUAGAUGGCUGUAAUUACUGAUUGCACACACAUAUGUUAGUUAGGCACAUUACACUACACUUUGAAUCGGAAACAUGUUUUUUUUAAUGUGGAUUAUUUUAUCCUGAUGAGCAACUUUCUAUAAUAAAGCCCACUGAACUUUC